CUUUAGCAUGUUGUACGCCAGACUGCAUCAGACAGUUACUUCAAAGUUUUGUUUCUUGCACUGCACUAAAUUUGUUUGUUUGUUCUGCAGCCAAAUGCAACACCUUCUUCAGCUGAGGAGAGUUUAACUGAGGAUCAUCCUUCUGAACCUUCCACAGAGAUUCUGAAAUGGUGCACUGCCAUACAAGUGGAAUAAGAGUAUCAGGGACUGGUGGCCACAUGGCAAGAGCCCUGCUGAUUUUUCCUCCGAAGCGAACUAAAGCAGGUAAGGUCUGUCUCUCUCCACUGACACACAAUGUAGGGAUGUGCCGCUGUUAUAACCCCUGCGCCACAGUUAUUGUUAGCAGGUCAAAGCACUG
rnacentral:lncRNA from 1 species